CCAAUAGCGUAUAUUAAAGUUGUUGCAGUUAAAAAGCUCGUAGUUGAAUUUCGGGAUCAGUACGCUGGUCAUGCCUUUGGUAUGCACUGGUGUCACUGGUUUCUCCCUUCUGAAGAUCCGUGAUGUCAUUAAUUUGGUGUCGCGGGGAAUCAGGACUGUUACUUUGAACAAAUUAGAGUGUUUAAAGCAGGCUCACGCUUGAAUACAUUAGCAUGGAAUAAUGAAAUAGGACGUUUGACCCUAUUUUGUUGGUUUCUAGGAUCGACGUAAUGAUUAAUAGGGAUAGUUGGGGGCAUUAGUAUUCAAUUGUCAGAGGUGAAAUUCUUGGAUUUAUUGAAGACUAACUACUGCGAAAGCAUUUGCCAAGGAUGUUUUCAUUAAUCAAGAACGAAAGUUAGGGGAUCGAAGACGAUCAGAUACCGUCGUAGUCUUAACCAUAAACUAUGCCGACUAGGGAUCGGAUGAUGUUAAUUUUAUAAUGACUCAUUCGGCGCCUUAC
rnacentral:rRNA from 1 species